rnacentral:misc_RNA from 1 species
UAAACCCAUCGCUUCCCUCCCUUGUUAAACCAGGGGGGUCGGCCCAUCACUUGCUGGUGGGCUUGGAAGCGGAGCUGGCUUUCCCACGCUUCGUGCGUGGGUUGGCUGAAAAGCAGAGGCUAGAGCUAGGACCCAUCAUGGGCUCAACUGGAUAGGUAGAUCUGGCGCCUAACGGCACCUCCUACACGAAGUUGUGGCUUGUGGUCCUCGGCUGGCGGCCUGCAGGAAAUGAGCGUGUGUGCGUGUUGGAGCUUCUGCUUCCACCGCCUCCGCCAUCUACC